UCUCCUUCUCGUAACUGUAAUGCUUACAUUGUAUAUUUUUAUUCAUAAGCUUUUUCUGAACUAGAUUAGCCUUUAGUCAUGAGCCCGAUUCUUAGCUAACUGUCUGAACUUAUAAGUCAGAUCACAUACCUUCUAAUAGUGAUUAGCAGGGCUGCCUUUUUGCUUUUAGUUCUGUCUUGCCAGGAAAUGAAGCUGAGGUCCUUUCUUCCCAAAUUGCCCCCUUUACCUCCUCAACCUUUC
rnacentral:lncRNA from 1 species